rnacentral:rRNA from 1 species
GAUGAACGCUGGCGGCGUGCCUAAUACAUGCAAGUCGAGCGAACAGACGAGGAGCUUGCUCCUCUGACGUUAGCGGCGGACGGGUGAGUAACACGUGGAUAACCUACCUAUAAGACUGGGAUAACUUCGGGAAACCGGAGCUAAUACCGGAUAACAUGUUGAACCGCAUGGUUCAACAGUGAAAGACGGUCUUGCUGUCACUUAUAGAUGGAUCCGCGCCGCAUUAGCUAGUUGGUAAGGUAACGGCUUACCAAGGCAACGAUGCGUAGCCGACCUGAGAGGGUGAUCGGCCACACUGGAACUGAGACACGGUCCAGACUCCUACGGGAGGCAGCAGUAGGGAAUCUUCCGCAAUGGGCGAAAGCCUGACGGAGCAACGCCGCGUGAGUGAUGAAGGUCUUCGGAUCGUAAAACUCUGUUAUUAGGGGAGAACAAAUGUGUAAGUAACUAUGCACGUCUUGACGGUACCUAAUCAGAAAGCCACGGCUAACUACGU